AUGCUCGCUUCGGCAGCACAUAUACUAAAAUUGGAACAAUACAGAGAAGACUAGCAUGGCCCUGCGCAUAAAGGAGCUGUGCCAACAUUUUGGCCUUAUAUAGUUUU